rnacentral:lncRNA from 1 species
CCUGUUCAACAUAUGACAGUCACAAUUCAAAUGGAAAACUGAUGAAAUUCGUUCAUUUGGAGAAGAUAAAGCUCGUAAUUUUCAAUAAUAUGAUUUUUCCAAUGUACAUACAGUAAAUAUGUGAUCAAAUUUAGAAGGUAUGCAUACAUCAAGCUCAACAUAAGGUUUUGAAAUUAUUGAUUUAACGUUUUCGAAUUUUAUGAAUGAUUAUUGUAACCGUGAUCAGUGAGAUUAUGUGUGCAUUUUACCCAUUCUGUGGCAUCUAUUUUCAAUUUUUGUGAUCAGAGAGUAUGCAUUUGUUAUUUGUAUUUUCAAAUUUCAUAAAAUGCUUAUAUAAAAUUACUUUCUCUCUCUUACGCUACAGAUUUAGGAAAUAGGUGCAUUCACAUCUUCGUUACAUCCAAAAUCACUCCAAAAUUAUCAUUAAAAUUUGCCAUGAUUUGAUAAAUAUAUUUCUUUAAGAGCAUAUUUCGACUAAGUCACAAUGUCUUCAUCAAUUUUAUGAUUCAUCUGUCUACAGAUUUCAAUCUGGUAAGAGUUGUCGGAAUGUGAUAGUUAAAGAAUCUGGUAAUUGAAGAUCUCCAUAUUUCACUGUGAAGAGAUCAUAAAGCCAUUCUUUUUUUGUCUUAUUCACAAACUGUAUAUUCAAUGAAAGAUUAUUCAUUUGAAAUUUACGAUUAAUUUGAAUUGUGAAUUCAUCUUGUGACUUAAAAAUUCAAAACUUUUGAAUAGGUUUUUGUAUUUCAUAAAAUCUCAGCAUGAAUGUGACUUAUUAAUUGUGUGUUUUGUGUUGUACGUCACUAUGUUCUGUUUAACAAUGGUUGUUUGUGAUCAGAUCUAUGUAAGCUAUUGUUGUUUG